rnacentral:rRNA from 1 species
UACAGAGGGUGCGAGCGUUAAUCGGAAUUACUGGGCGUAAAGCGCACGUAGGUGGCCUUGCAAGUCGAUUGUGAAAUCCCCGGGCUUAACCUGGGAACUGCAGUCGAGACUGCUUUGCUUGAGUAUGGGAGAGGGAGGUGGAAUUUCCGGUGUAGCGGUGAAAUGCGUAGGUAUCGGAAGGAACAUCAGUGGCGAAGGCGACCUCCUGGACCAAUACUGACACUCAAGUGCGAAAGCGUGGGGAGCAAACAGG